rnacentral:rRNA from 1 species
UAACGACUCUCGGCAACGGAUAUCUCGGCUCUCGCAUCGAUGAAGAACGUAGCGAAAUGCGAUACUUGGUGUGAAUUGCAGAAUCCCGUGAACCAUCGAGUCUUUGAACGCAAGUUGCGCCCGAAGCCAUUAGGUCGAGGGCACGUCUGCUUGGGCGUCUCACA